GGUAGUAUCUCAUUGAUUAUUGCGACAGUGACGGGACUGCGCCUUAUUGGAGGUAUUGACCUUCCACCAAUAGGAUUACCUAUGUGGGGGAGGUGAUUUGAGCGAGAUAUCCGACUGUUAAUUUCAUCAUCUCCAGCAUUUUGUGGAGGUACUCGUUGGCGAGAGGCGUUGCCUCUUGAAGGUGAACGUGGGACUUGUCGCCCAGUUCGUGCAUUAUGGCGAUGAGUAGAUUGUUGCAUUCGAGACCUAGGGUCUGAGGUGGAUGUGUUAUCCGGUGGCGGUGGAGGUCGUUGUGCCACGGGUGGAGAUGCAAGGGGAGCGUUGACUCCCGU
rnacentral:lncRNA from 1 species